GACGUAGGGCGCGAGCGUUGUCCGGAUUUAUUGGGCGUAAAGAGCUCGUAGGCGGCUUGUCGCGUCGACUGUGAAAACCCGCGGCUCAACCGUGUGGCGGGCAGUUGAUACGGGCAGGCUAGAGUUCGGUAGGGGAGACUGGAAUUCCUGGUGUAGCGGUGAAAUGCGCAGAUAUCAGGAGGAACACCGGUGGCGAAGGCGGGUCUCUGGGCAGUAACUGACGCUGAGGAGCGAAAGCGUGGGGAGCGAACAGG
rnacentral:rRNA from 1 species